GACGAACGCUGGCGGCGUGCCUAAUACAUGCAAGUUGAGCGCUGAAGGUUGGUACUUGUACCAACUGGAUGAGCAGCGAACGGGUGAGUAACGCGUGGGGAAUCUGCCUUUGAGCGGGGGACAACAUUUGGAAACGAAUGCUAAUACCGCAUAAAAACUUUAAACACAAGUUUUAAGUUUGAAAGAUGCAAUUGCAUCACUCAAAGAUGAUCCCGCGUUGUAUUAGCUAGUUGGUGAGGUAAAGGCUCACCAAGGCGAUGAUACAUAGCCGACCUGAGAGGGGGAUCGGCGACAUUGGGACUGAGACACGGCCCAAACUCCUACGGGAGGCAGCAGUAGGGAAUCUUCGGCAAUGGACGAGAGUCUGACCGAGCAACGCCGCGUGAGUGAAGAAGGUUUUCGGAUCGUAAAACUCUGUUGGUAGGGAAGAACGUUGGUGAGAGUGGAAAGCUCAUCAAGUGACGGUAACUACCCAGAAAGGGACGGCUAACUACGUG
rnacentral:rRNA from 1 species